AUACGGAGGAUGCGAGCGUUAUCCGGAUUUAUUGGGUUUAAAGGGUGCGUAGGCUGUGCGUUAAGUCAGGGGUGAAAUGCCGUCGCUCAACGACGGAGCUGCCCUUGAUACUGGCGUGCUGGAGUACGGAUGCCGUUGGAGGAAUGAGUGGUGUAGCGGUGAAAUGCUUAGAUAUCACUCAGAACACCGAUUGCGAAGGCAUCUGACGAAUCCGUCACUGACGCUGAGGCACGAAAGCGUGGGGAUAGAACAGGAUUAGAUACCCUGGUAUUCCACGCCGUAAACGAUGAUGACUAACCGUCGGCGAUAGACAGCCGGUGGCCAAGCGAAAGCGAUAAGUCAUCCACCUGGGGAGUACGUCGGCAACGAUGAAACUCAAAGGAAUUGAC
rnacentral:rRNA from 1 species